UGAUCAUGGCUCAGAUUGAACGCUGGCGGCAGGCCUAACACAUGCAAGUCGAACGGUAACAGGAAGAAGCUUGCUUCUUUGCUGACGAGUGGCAGACGGGUGAGUAAUGUCUGGGAAACUGCCUGAUGGAGGGGGAUAACUACUGGGAACGGUAGCUAAUACCGCAUAACGUCGCAAGACCAAAGAGGGGGACCUUCGGGCCUCUUGCCAUCGGAUGUGCCCAGAUGGGAUUAGCUAGUAGGUGGGGCAACGGCUCACCUAGGCGACGAUCCCUAGCUGGUCUGAGAGGAUGACCAGCCACACUGGAACUGAGACACGGUCCAGACUCCUACGGGAGGCAGCAGUGGGGAAUAUUGCACAAUGGGCGCAAGCCUGAUGCAGCCAUGCCGCGUGUAUGAAGAAGGCCUUCGGGUUGUAAAGUACUUUCAGCGGGGAGGAAGGGAGUAAAGUUAAUACCUUUGCUCAUUGACGUUACCCGCAGAAGAAGCACCGGCUAACUCCGUGUCAGCAGCCGCGGUAAUACGGAGGGUGCAAGCGUUAAUCGGAAUUACUGGGCGUAAAGCGCACGCAGGCGGUUUGUUAAGUCAGAUGUGAAAUC
rnacentral:rRNA from 1 species